UUACCAUAAAGAGUGUGCGAGGGACAAGCCCGUUGACCACACGGCAACCUGCAAAGCAAGGUGCCAAAGCUUGAUCGAUGGGUGAAUAAAAUCGUAC
rnacentral:ncRNA from 19 species